rnacentral:rRNA from 1 species
UUGGAGGGCAAGUCUGGUGCCAGCAGCCGCGGUAAUUCCAGCUCCAAUAGCGUAUAUUAAAGUUGUUGCAGUUAAAAAGCUCGUAGUUGAAUUUCGGGAUCAGUACGUUGGUCGUGCCUUAGGUACGUACUGGUGUUACUGGUUCCUACCUUCUGACGAACCAUCAUGUCAUUAAUUUGGUGUGGCGGGGAAUCAGGACUGUUACUUUGAAAAAAUUAGAGUGUUUAAAGCAGGCUCGCGCUUGAAUACAUUAGCAUGGAAUAAUGAAAUAGGACGUUGAUCCUAUUUUGUUGGUUUCUAGGAUUGACGUAAUGAUUAAUAGGGAUAGUUGGGGGCAUUAGUAUUCAAUUGUCAGAGGUGAAAUUCUUGGAUUUAUUGAAGACUAGCUACUGCGAAAGCAUUUGCCAAGGAUGUUUUCAUUAAUCAAGAACGAAAGUUAGGGGAUCGAAGACGAUCAGAUACCGUCGUAGUCUUAACCAUAAACUAUGCCGACUAGGGAUCGGAUGAUGUUAUUUUUAAUGACUCAUUCGGCGCCUUACGGGAAAC